rnacentral:rRNA from 1 species
AGAAUCAACGCUGGCGGCGUGCCUAAUACAUGCAAGUCGAACGCGAAGACCCCGCAAGGGGUUGGUAGCGUGGCAAACGGGUGAGUAACGCGUGGGCGACCUGCCUUCGAGUGGGGGAUAACCUUCCGAAAGGAGGGCUAAUACCGCAUGAUAUGCCGUGUUUGGAUACAUGGACAUCAAAGCUGGGGAUCGCAAGACCUGGCGCUUGAAGAGGGGCCUACGUCCGAUUAGCUAGUUGGUGGGGUAACGGCUCACCAAGGCGACGAU